UGUGUGUGUGUGUGUGUGUGUGUGUGUGUGUGUGUGUGUGUGUGUGUGUGUGUGUGUGUGUGUGUAGUGUGUGUGUGUGUGUGUGUGUGUGUGUAGUGUGUGUGUGUAGUGUGUGUAGUGUGUGUGUGUGUGUAGUGUGUGUGUAGUGUGUAGUGUGUGUGUAGUGUGUGUGUGUUGUGUGUGUAGUGUGUGUGUGUAGUGUGUGUGUAGUGUGUGUGUAGUGUGUGUGUAGUGUGUGUGUGUUGUGUGUGUGUAGUGUGUGUGUGUGUAGUGUGUGUGUAGUGUGUGUGUAGUGUGUGUGUGUGUGUAGUGUGUGUGUGUAGUGUGUGUGUAGUGUGUGUGUG
rnacentral:lncRNA from 1 species